rnacentral:lncRNA from 1 species
GUCACAUAUUCUAAGAAAUAGACUGUACUCUCCUCAAAUCGAAAUAACGGCACUUUAAUUCUUGGAUUUUCCACAUUUUCGUUGGUAAAGCUCCUAUUUGCUUUCUCUGAAUCUGUAUCAGUUCAUGCAGUUCUGCCAAGUGGGGAAGCUUUGCAGGACACUGCCACUGUAGCACUUGAAAUAUUAAGAUGAACAGAACAAGCAAAAGGUAAGCUUACUUCCUUGCAGUAUUUUGAGUGUCUGUUUCUUUGCUUGCAAAAGUUUACGUGUUCUUGAUUGAGAGAGGUUUUGUUUAAUACCCAUCCUGAUUCAAAUAAACUACUCUUGUUACUGUUUUUAAUAGCUGAGGUAUAGAAGGGAAGAAAAA